rnacentral:rRNA from 1 species
GCAAGUCGAACGGUAACAGAUCUAGCUUGCUAGAUGCUGACGAGCGGCGGACGGGUGAGUAACGCGUGGGAAUAUGCCCAACUGUGGGGGAUAGCCAGAGGAAACUCUGAUUAAUACCGCAUAAGCCCUUCGGGGGAAAGCAGGGGACCUUCGGGCCUUGCGCUGUUGGAUUAGCCCGCGUCAGAUUAGCUAGUUGGUAGGGUAAGAGCCUACCAAGGCGACGAUCUGUAGCUGGCCUGAGAGGGUGGUC